CUGACUGGGGGAUGGCUCGGCUCGAGAGCUGAUGAAGGUCGUGACAAGCUGCGAUAAGCUACGGGGAGGCGCAUGAAUGCCUUGGAUCCGUAGAUGGCCGAAUAGGACCUCCUGGCUUUACGAAGUCAUUCCCGUAUUAAUUUACUGGAAAGGGAACCGCCCGAAUUGAAGCAUCUUAGUAGGGCGAGGAACAGAAAUCAAACGAGAUUCCGUUAGUAGUGGCGAAUGAACACGGAAUAGAACAAACCGAAUCCGCUUGGGAAACCUUGUGGAGAUGUGGGGUAUGGAUCACCUAUCGUCUAAAUUCACGAAGCAGAAGUCGAUCUGGAACGACGUACCAUAGAGGGUGAAAGUCCCGUAUGUGUAGUGAACAUGACCAAGUGGUGAAUCCUGAGUAGCGUGCGUUGGAUAUCGCGCGUGAAUAUGGGAGGCAUAAACUUCCAAUUCUAAAUACAACUCGAGACCGAUAGUAGACCAGUAGUGUGAACGAAAGUUGAAAAGUAUCCUGAGAGGGAUGUGAAAAGAACCUGAAACCAGUUAGGGACAGACUGAAUAGGCGUGAAAGCGAAGAUAUGAGCAGCGUCUAUUCGUGCGUUUCGAAUAAUGCCCCUGGGAGUCUUGAUCAUUGGCGAGGUUAAGCAGUUGAUCUGCGAAGCCGUAGGGAAACCGACAAGUCCGCAGCCCGUAAGGGUGAGGGACGAGAUGUGCUCGUCUGAAGUCAAUGGUGGAGGACCUGAAGCCUAUCGAUCUAUGCCUGGCCAGAUUGAAGCCCGAUGAAAGUUGGGUGGAGGAUCGAACCGUUGCUGAUGUGCAAAUCGCUCGGACGAGUUGGGUAUAGGGGUGAAAGUCCAAUCGAGAUGGGCAAUAGCAGGUUCCGCGCGAGACUACUCGUAGGUAGACCUCUGUGGAGAUAGAUUGUGCUGUAGAGCACUGAUUGGGUAUUUAGGGGGAGCGAUCCCUCGGUAUGCUGUCAAACUCCGAAGGUGCAAUCAUUGUAGAAACAGGGAGUGAGUCGCGGUGGGUAAGCUACCGUGACGAAAGGAGAACAGUCCAGCCUAGCGUUAAGGUCCCAAAGUACUAACUAAGUGUCAAAGACAAACCGUGUCCGUGGUCGAAAACAACCAGAAGGUGGGCUUAGAAGCAGCCAUCCUUGAAAGAGUUCGUAACAGAUCACUGGUCAAGCUUGCGGGCCGGGAAAAGGGACGGGGCUAAAGUUAGUCACCGAUACGCUAGACCAGCGAAAGCUGAUGUGGUAGCGCGGCGACAUGUUCGGGUAGAAGGUAGGCCUUGAGGUCUACUGGACCGUAUAUGUAUGAGAAUCUAGGGAAAAGUAGCAGCAAAGAGUGGUGAGAAUCCGCUCCACCGGAGGGGCCAGGGUUCCUCGGCAAUGUUCAUCAGCCGAGGGUUAGCCGGUCCUAAGGUCAUUCUUAACCGAAAUGAUCGAAUAGGGAAAUGCGUUAAUAUUCGUAUGCCUCUGUGCAAUUAUGGUGACAGCUUGGGCUAGUCUUACAGGUCAUAUGUCAGGCCUGAAGAUUGUAUAAGGAAUUGGAGAACCGUCAUGGUGAGAAGAUUCCGAAAUCAAUUGACAAUAUAAGAUGACGCCUAGGCUCCGUGAAAAGCCGCACAGAAGACCGUACCUAGAACUGACACAGGUGCCCCUGGGUGAGUAGCCUAAGGUGUGACGGGAAAAGUACCGCAAGGGAACUCGGCAAAAUAGCUCCGUAACUUCGGGAGAAGGAGUGCCAGCUUAGAGAUAAGCUGGUCGCAGUGACCAGGGGUCUCCGACUGUUUAAUAAAAACAUAGGCGACUGCCAGUCCGAAAGGAUGAGUAUAGUCGCUGAAUCCUGCUCAGUGCCGGUAUCUGAAAUCGGGGUUCAACCUGACGAAGGACCGGUAAACAGCGGGGGUAACUAUGACCCUCUUAAGGUAGCGUAAUACCUUGUCGCUUAAUUGGCGACUUGCAUGAAUGGUCAUGGCGCACAGUCCAGUACCUUCAACCUGCAAGCGAAGACCCCGUAGAGCUUUACUGCAGCCUGCCGUUGUGUAGUGGCACUUAUUGUGCUGCGUAGACGGGAGAUGUUAAUCCCUCAGACGUCAGUCUGGGGAGUAGUCACACAGAGAGACACCGUCCUUUGAGUGCAACUACACUUACUCUUCAUGAGGACACCGGUAGGUGGGCAGUUUGGGUGGGGCGCCACGCGCUCGAAAACCUAACAAGCGUGCCCAAAGGUCAGCUUAGGUGGUUCAGUCUCCACCGUAAACCGUAAGGGGAAAAGCUGGCUUGACGUGGAUCGGCACUGGGGGUGGUAGAUAACAGAAAAGUUACCUCGGGGAUAAUUGAGUUGUCACCAGCAAGAGCUCACAUCGACCUGGUGGCUUGCUACUUCGAUGUCGUCUCUUCCUAUCCUGGGUCUGCAGCAGGACCCAAGGGUGGGGUUGUUCGCCCAUUAAAAGGGAUCGUGAGAUGGGUUUAGACCGUCGUGAGACAGGUUUGUUGCUUUGUGGUUGAAGCGUUUAUGCCUGAUGGAAAGGGCCCUUUAGUACGAGAGGAACGAGGGCUCGGGGCCACUAGUCUACCAGUUGUCUGACAAGGCAAUGCUGGGUAGCCACGCCCUAUGUGGAUAAGAGCUGAAAGCAUCUAAGCUCGAAGCCACCCCAAAGACGAGGCAUAUGAGACAGG
rnacentral:rRNA from 1 species